rnacentral:rRNA from 1 species
CCUACGGGAGGCAGCAGUGAGGAAUAUUGGUCAAUGGGCGCGAGCCUGAACCAGCCAAGUCGCGUGAGGGAAGACGGUACAGUGGAUUGUAAACCUCUUUUGUCGGGGAGCAAAAGACGCCACGCGUGGCCUUCCGAGAGUACCCGAAGAAAAAGCAUCGGCUAACUCCGUGCCCGCAGCCGCGGUAAUACGGAGGAUGCGAGCGUUAUCCGGAUUUAUUGGGUUUAAAGGGUGCGCAGGCGGAAGAUUAAGUCAGCGGUAAAAUUGAGAGGCUCAACCUCUUCGAGCCGUUGAAACUGGUUUUCUUGAGUGAGUGAGAAGUAUGCGGAAUGCGUGGUGUAGCGGUGAAUUGCAUAGAUAUCACGCAGAACUCCGAUUGCGAAGGCAGCAUACCGGCGCUCAACUGACGCUCAUGCACGAAAGUGUGGGUAUCGAACAGGAUUAGAUACCCGAGUAGUC